GAUGAACGCUAGCGGCAGGCCUAAUACAUGCAAGUCGAACGGGAUGAAGUAGCAAUACUUCGUUCAGUGGCGCACGGGUGCGUAACGCGUAUGCAACCUACCUUAAACUGGGGGAUAGCCUUCCGAAAGGAAGAUUAAUACCGCAUAAGAUCACACGAGGGCAUCUGAGAGUGAUUAAAGAUUUAUUGGUUUAAGAUGGGCAUGCGUGCCAUUAGCUAGUUGGUAGGGUAACGGCCUACCAAGGCUACGAUGGCUAGGGGUUCUGAGAGGAUGAUCCCCCACACUGGUACUGAGAUACGGACCAGACUCCUACGGGAGGCAGCAGUAGGGAAUAUUGGGCAAUGGACGCAAGUCUGACCCAGCCAUGCCGCGUGCAGGAAGAAGGCCUUCUGGGUUGUAAACUGCUUUUAUCUAGGAAGAAAAAACUCUUGCGAGAGGAACUGACGGUACUAGAUGAAUAAGCACCGGCUAACUCCGUGCCAGCAGCCGCGGU
rnacentral:rRNA from 1 species